rnacentral:rRNA from 1 species
AACGAACGCUGGCGGCAUGCCUAACACAUGCCAGUCGAACGAAGGCUUCGGCCUUAGUGGCGCACGGGUGCGUAACGCGUGGGAAUCUGCCCUUAGGUUCGGAAUAACAGUUAGAAAUGACUGCUAAUACCGGAUGAUGACGUAAGUCCAAAGAUUUAUCGCCUGAGGAUGAGCCCGCGUAGGAUUAGCUAGUUGGUGUGGUAAAGGCGCACCAAGGCGACGAUCCUUAGCUGGUCUGAGAGGAUGAUCAGCCACACUGGGACUGAGACACGGCCCAGACUCCUACGGUAGGCAGCAGUGGGGAAUAUUGGACAAUGGGCGCAAGCCUGAUCCAGCAAUGCCGCGUGAGUGAUGAAGGCCUUAGGGUUGUAAAGCUCUUUUACCCGUGAUGAUAAUGACAGUAGCGGGAGAAUAAGCCCCGGCUAACUCCGUG